ACGAGUCGAGUUGUUUGGGAAUGCAGCUCUAAAUGGGAGGUAAAUUUCUUCUAAAGCUAAAUACUGGCCAGAGACCGAUAGCGCACAAGUAGAGUGAUCGAAAGAUGAAAAGCACUUUGGAAAGAGAGUCAAAUAGCACGUGAAAUUGUUGAAAGGGAAGCGCUUGCAGCCAGACUUGCCUGUAGUUGCUUAUCUAGACUUUUGUCUAGUGCACUCUUCUAUGGGCAGGCCAGCAUCAGUUUGGGCGGUUGGAUAAAGGUCUCUGUCAUGUACCUCCCUUUGGGGAGGCCUUAUAGGGGAGAUGCCAUGCAACCAGCCUGGACUGAGGUCCGCGCAUCUGCUAGGAUGCUGGCGUAAUGGCUGUAAGCGGCCCGUCUUGAAACACGGACCAAGGAGUCUAACAUCUAUGCAAGUGUUUGGGUGUCAAGCCCAGGCGCGUAAUGAAAGUGAACGGAGGUGGGAACCCUUUUGGGUGCACCAUCGACCGAUCCUGAUGUCUUCGGAUGGAUUUGAGUAAGAGCAUGGCUGUUGGGACCCGAAAGAUGGUGAACUAUGCUUGAAUAGGGUGAAGCCAGAGGAAACUCUGGUGGAGGCUCGCAGCGGUUCUGACGUGCAAAUCGAUCGUCAAAUUUGGGCAUAGGGGCGAAAGACUAAUCGAACUAUCUAGUAGCUGGUUCCUGCCGAAGUUUCCCUCAGGAUAGCAGUAACGUAUUCAGUUUUAUGAGGUAAAGCGAAUGAUUAGAGGCCUGGGGGUUGAAACAACCUUCACCUAUUCUCAAACUUUAAAUAUGUAAGAA
rnacentral:rRNA from 1 species